rnacentral:pre_miRNA from 1 species
AGUGGGAUAGUUGGGUCAAAUAGAGAUUCCAUUGCUAGUUUUUUGAGAAAUCUCCAUACUGCUUUUCAGAGUGGUUACACCCAUUUGCAGUUCCACCAACAAU